rnacentral:rRNA from 1 species
AUUGAACGCUGGCGGCAGGCCUAACACAUGCAAGUCGAGCGGAUGAAGGGAGCUUGCUCCUGGAUUCAGCGGCGGACGGGUGUGUAAUGCCUAGGAAUCUGCCUGGUAGUGGGGGAUAACGUCCGGAAACGGGCGCUAAUACCGCAUACGUCCUGAGGGAGAAAGUUGGGGAUCUUCGGACCUCACGCUAUCAGAUGAGCCUAGGUCGGAUUAGCUAGCUGGUGGGUUACAGGCCUACCAAGGCGACGAUCGGUAACUGGUCUGAGAGAAUGACCGGUCACACGGGAACUGAGACACGGUCCAGACUCCUACGGGAGGCAGCAGUGGGGAAUAUUGGACAAUGGGCGAAAGCCUGAUCCAGCCAGGCCGCGUGUGUGAAGAAGGUCUUCGGAUUGUAAAGCACUUUAAGUUGGGAGGAAGGGCAGUAAGUUAAUACCUUGCUGUUUUGACGUUACCAACAGAAUAAGCACCGGCUAACUUCGUG